rnacentral:rRNA from 1 species
AACGAACGCUGGCGGCAGGCCUAACACGUGCAAGUCGAACGCCCCGCAAGGGGAGUGGCAGACGGGUGAGUAACGCGUGGGAAAUUCCCCCAAGGUUCGGAAUAACUGAGGGAAACUUCAGCUAAUACCGAAUGGUACCGAGAGGUUAAAGAUUUAUCGCCUUGGGAUGAGCCCGCGUUGGAUUAGCUAGUUGGUGAGGUAACGGCUCACCAAGGCUAUGAUCCAUAGCUUGUCUGAGAGGACGACCAGCCACACUGGGACUGAGACACGGCCCCGACUCCUACGGGAGGCAGCAGUGGGGAAUCUUGGACAAUGGGCGCAAGCCUGAUCCAGCCAUGCCGCGUGGGCGAUGAAGGUCUUCGGAUUGUAAAGCCCUUUUGGCGGGGACGAUAAUGACGGUACCCGCAGAAUAAGCUCCGGCCAACUUCGUGCCAGCCGCCGCGGUAAGAC